UACGUAGGGGGCAAGCGUUGUCCGGAAUCAUUGGGCGUAAAGCGCGUGUAGGCGGCUCGGUAAGUCUGCUGUGAAAGUCCAGGGCUCAACCCUGGGAUGCCGGUGGAUACUGUCGAGCUCGAGUCCGGAAGAGGCGAGUGGAAUUCCUGGUGUAGCGGUGAAAUGCGCAGAGUAUCAGGAGGAACACCUAUGGCGAAGGCAGCUUGCUGGGACGACACUGAUCGUGAGACGCGAAAGCGUGGGGAGCAAACAGG
rnacentral:rRNA from 1 species